rnacentral:rRNA from 1 species
UACAGAGGUCUCAAGCGUUGUUCGGAUUCAUUGGGCGUAAAGGGUGUGUAGGUGGCGCCGUAAGUCGGGGUGUGAAAUUUCGGAGCUUAACUCCGAAACUGCAUUCGAUACUGCGGUGCUUGAGGACUGGAGAGGAGACUGGAAUUUACGGUGUAGCGGUGAAAUGCGUAGAUAUCGUAAGGAAGACCAGUGGCGAAGGCGGGUCUCUGGACAGUUCCUGACGCUGAGGCACGAAGGCCAGGGGAGCAAACGGG